UCCUGAAGCUUCUUCUCCAAAUCUGGAAGAGACAUGCAAUGAUCCUUAUGUAUGUUGUGUGAUCCUGGUCUGUCAGUGUCUGUGGGCAAGGGCUUCAGCUGAAUUCAUGGCUGUCACAAUUUUCACCUCUCGCUAUUGAAGCAAUAACACCACCUGUUAUUCUUUUAAUUUUCUUCUCAGUCUCCUCAGCCAGUUUCUCUGCUUCUUCUUUCAGCUGCUUCACUUUUUCUAGUGUUGCUUUUGGAGGUCCUUGGGCUUUCAGCUUUUCUUGAAGAAUGCUGUACUUUCUUUUAAUGUCAGCAAACUCCUGUAGCAAAAUGAUGUUACUUGGUUUAAAAGCAUCUCACAAUUAAUCUGGAGUACUGGAGGGUACAUACUUUCUUUGUAUAUCAUCUUUGAACCAAACUUUAAAUCCCUCAUUCUCUUAAAUAAAACAUCCAUGAUGAGUGUACA